UACAGAGGUCCCGAGCGUUGUUCGGAUUCACUGGGCGUAAAGGGUGCGUAGGUGGCCUGAAAAGUUUGAUGUGAAAGCUCAGGGCUUAACCCUGAAAUGGCAUUGAGUACUGUCGGGCUGGAGGUUUGGAGGGGGGACUGGAAUUCUUGGUGUAGCAGUGAAAUGCGUAGAUAUCAAGAGGAACACCAGUGGCGAAGGCGAGUCCCUGGACAACACCUGACACUGAGGCACGAAAGCUAGGGGAGCAAACAGG
rnacentral:rRNA from 1 species